UCUGCCAGUAGAUUUGUUUUAUCUUAUCAGUGUAGAUAGGCUCUCUGAUGAAGGGUCUAGGCCCGAAACGUCAGCUUUUGUGCUCCUGAGAUGCUGCUUGGCCUGCUGUGUUCAUCCAGCCUCACAUUUUAUUAUCUUGGAAUUCUCCAGCAUCUGCAGUUCCCAUUAUCAGUGUAGAUAGCAAUCAGGUUUGAUGAAUGCAAAGUAAUGCUACCACCCUAUGUGAACAAUCAGUCAUCAGCACCGAUAUGCAUCUUGGCAACAACAGUCUGGGAACUGAUUGUAGCAUUGCAUUAAUCAUGAAAGUUCCUGCAUGUUUCUAGUGAAAUGGUGAUAGAUGUUUAAAUGUAAUUAAUUAAAAGUUUACAGUGACAGUUUUAUACUUCAAUCUGAAAGAUCACUUCCUGCAGCAAAAUAUUGGGAAUGUAUAAUCAUUACAACACGAUAAUUGAACAGCGCAUUCCCAGAUCACACUUUAAAUGGAGCAAUCCAUGCUCAUUAAUAAUUUGCACAAUUUCUGGGAUUAUGGCAUGCAUUUACUCUUGACUAACUGGAUCACUUGAUUUCUCACACUCCCAGCUGCUAUAUCUUCAUUAUUUUCAUGAUUUGCUGCAUGAAACCAAAUUCACCACUGACAAGGAAUUUUUAUUUCUUUAGCUCUUCUUUAUCCUGCUUUUAAGAAAUUGGGAAAACACAAUUUGAUCACUUAAGUGCCAAAGGCAAACCAUCUUCCUAACUCUUUCACUUCUGGUUUCCCACUUAUUAAGUAGCUUGAGCUAGUAACACAGACACUCAUGAGUUUCUGCUGUUCACAAGCAAGUCUGGAUGGUUAUCUUCUCAAAAGGGGACCGCAGCUCAGCCCAAUCCUGUCCAUUUGACGUUAACUUCUAGCAGAGGUCACUGGGUCAUCAUCAUAAGUUGAGGCCUCUGCUAAUUCGCCAUCUCAACCAUAGGAUUGUUGAUGUUAAUUACAAUACACCCCAAUCUUCAAAUACAAAGGAAUGAUUGCUUGCCGUGUCUCUGAAAUGAAAAUGCCUGGACUUGUAUCAAGAUUAUGAACACACAACUAAAUGAUUGCCUUGAAUUUUGUACUACUAAUGGAACUGGCAAAAUUGAAGAGAAAGCAGAUGUGAAACCAUCAGCAGAAGACCAAGUUAAAUAUUUCAAAUGCACAGGCUGUGCACUGGUCACCAGAGUAAUGGAGUCACAUUUAGUAAAGAAGGAUGGCCAGCACAAAUCCCAGGAGGCAUAGCAAGAAGUAACAGAUUUGUUAUCACAAAAAGAAGAUUCAACUCCAGAGAAUGUCAUACAGAUGGGGAUUAAAGCUGAAGACUGGAUGGUGCUGUACAGAUCAAUCCUUACAGGAAAACAUUAAUGUUAUCACAGGAGCUCAGUCGAAUCCAUUCAAUUUGUACAAAGCAAAGAAGAUGCAUGUAACAAACCAGUAUAGUGAGCAGGAUAGACAUUAGAUAUUCUAAGUCUUCCUAGCGCUGUGGCAUGAGGAAACAUCACAGACAGUGCCCAGGUAUUAAAAAUAAUUGGUCACUUCUAGAAAAUUCUUUGAGGGGCAAUCACAGAAAAACAAGGAGUCAAUUAACUACCCACAUGAAGAGGUUAAUGAGUUAAAACUGUUAACGAGAGAAGAAAGCCUAAAGUGUUCUUCGGGGAAAUGGUUGAACCAGUCCUAGCAUUUAGGUAAGAGGUUAAUUGUAUCUAUAGGCAUCUCACUAAUUUCAAGCUUGAUGAGUGUUAGUAUACUAUCAAAUAGAGGCUACGGUUGAAAAAUAUACUGUCUACAAAGUGCACCUAUAUGUUCUAGGAGGUUUAGCUCUUGACAUUUAAGGUACGCUAAAAAUAACUGAUCAACUUAUGUGGAAUCAGCAAGUAGAGCAAAUUACAUAUGCACACUUCACAAGCAAGUAUUCUCACUCUUCAGUCUGCUUAUGAAUGACCUUAAUCUUCUUCAAAUAGUAAGAGGAACCAAACUAGUUGAGACUGGUCCAGGAACAGUCAGUCAAGAAACAUUUGUUAACAAUUAAUUGGUUGUGGAAAGACCAGUCUAAGGACAACUGGUAGAAGAUUUCAAAGACCUUUGUAAACUCAUGACCGAAUGCAAACAGAAGACAGAAUCCAUGGAAUUUAGUUAUGUUGGCAUAAAAAAAUGGUUUCACACUGUCAAUAAGAGAUAUUGGCCAGAAAGAGACAACGGCUGAAUCAAAUAUGACAGGAGCAGAGGAGACACCAAGAACAUCUCACUAUUUGUUGGUAUUUUGUUGAAGGUUGGCCAGACCAAAGGCUGAGGAUUGGCCUUGGAAACAUUUUGAGCACUGAAAUUUCACGACUGAUUGUUUUAAUGUGGUUUUGGAAUGAUAUCUGGCAAGAAUGGUUAUUAUCUCUACAGUGGGAGACGGUUAUUGCCUCGCACUUGUGUCACGAAGAAUGCAGUUUGUCUCAUAUCAGCCUGAGCCUGCUGUUCAGGUCUCACUGACUGCUUCAACAUCAGAUUAGUUGCAAAUGUUGCAGAAUAUUG